CACGCCACCACAAGAAAGCGGAAACGCAUCGUAGAGCGAGAGCCAUGUGGGAUCCUUGCUCCUGAUAUCCUGAUGUAUGGGAUGCACUUCAUUAUAUGACUCCAACAGAACACUCACAGAAAGGAGAAUGGUGUCAAACUACAAGACAGCCAGCAUGUAAACAAGGCCUUGUUUGUCCUUGUUUGGCUACUCAUUUGUUUACUUCCUGAAGAGGCUGAAGCAUGCUGGCCUUGACACCUCAGUCCUUGCUUCCAUUAACAGGUUGUCAGCUGUUGUCAGGCUCAUCACCAAAGCAGAAAGACAUAGUGAGACCAGACAUGCCAGGAAGGAGCAAGGCACAGGCCAGGAAGGAGCAAGGCAAAGCCCAGGAAUUUUUCUGCAGCUGUUCCCGCCAGCUAUCGAAGGACUGCUCCUGAGAAUAGAUGGGUGUCUACAUUGUUUUGCAAAAUGGGUCUUCUACACAUGAUGCUUGUCAAGCACUGCUCAUUGACUGGUCACGGGUCCUCUGUAUUGUGGCCACUGGUCAAAGGCGCCACAUGACUGUCUCAGAGUCCUCUACAUCAUUCCGGUGACGGGACUUCUGGCCUAGCCUGACAGGAUGGGUCUUGUGUUACUGUGACCAGACAGCUCAACAAUGCGUCAUCGCUCAUCCAUGCCCUCAUCGCCUCAAGACUGGAGUACUACAACAGCAUUCUCUAUGGUCUUGAAAAAUAUUAUUGUCUUUAUUAUUAUUAUUAUUAUUAUUAUUAUUAUUAUUAUUAUAAGUACAGGUCUCUCUGCAUCCGAACCAGCAGGUUCAGAGGAAGCUUCUUUUCUGUAGCUGUCAUCCGACUGGACUGUAGCUCUGUAUCCCGGUGACAACCCAUCAACUAAGCCCCCAAUACCCUAUCCCACCCAUAGUGUUAUUUAUUUACAAAUGCACAUACUGUAAUUAUAAUUAUACAUAACCAUAUUCUACUGCUCUUCAUAUUAUCCAUCCUGAACAUACACUUCUUACUACUCUUAUAAUGUUACUGUAGCUGUACGUACUAUACAUAUCUGUGUAUAUGGUUCAUAUCUGAAUAUCAUUUAUUCUGUUUCUCAUAUGUUCUGUUAAUACACUGCACAACCCAUAUUUAUAUAUAAUUUAUAUGACUCUA